CGGCCCGGCGUCCGCCCACCCCGCGGAGGGGUGAAGCGGGGAUUCCGGCCGGGCCGACAGGGGGAUGACGAGCUUUUGCUUUGCUGAAGAGUGAUGAGCACGCCCUUCCCCGACCCCUCAGAUCAGG
rnacentral:snoRNA from 1 species